rnacentral:rRNA from 1 species
AGAUUGAACGCUGGCGGCAUGCUUUACACAUGCAAGUCGAACGGUAACAGGCCGCAAGGUGCUGACGAGUGGCGAACGGGUGAGUAAUGUAUCGGAACGUGCCCAGUCGUGGGGGAUAACGCAGCGAAAGCUGCGCUAAUACCGCAUACGAUCUAUGGAUGAAAGCGGGGGACCGUAAGGCCUCGCGCGAUUGGAGCGGCCGAUAUCAGAUUUAGGGUAGUUGGUGGGGUAAAGGCUCACCGAAGCCAACGAUCUGUAGCUGGUCUGAGAGGACGACCAGCCACACUGGGACUGAGACACGGCCCAGACUCCGUACGGGAGCAGCAGGUGGGGAAUAGUUGGAC